rnacentral:rRNA from 1 species
UACGUAGGGUGCAAGCGUUAAUCGGAAUUACUGGGCGUAAAGCGUGCGCAGGCGGUUUUGUAAGUCUGUCGUGAAAGCCCCGGGCUCAACCUGGGAAUUGCGAUGGAGACUGCAAGGCUUGAAUCUGGAAGAGGGGGGUAGAAUUCCACGUGUAGCAGUGAAAUGCGUAGAGAUGUGGAGGAACACCGAUGGCGAAGGCAGCCCCCUGGGUCAAGAUUGACGCUCAUGCACGAAAGCGUGGGGAGCAAACAGG